rfam:Rattus norvegicus chromosome 1, whole genome shotgun sequence.
GGGGAUUUGGCUCAGUGGUAGAGCGCUUGCCUAGGAAGCGCAAGGUCCUGGGUUCGAUCCCCAGCCCCCA